ACAUGUUGGGCUUGUGUCAGAGUGUCAAGUCGCUUCUUCAUGGACAGGUGAAAUAAUGGUGAAUCUCUACCUCUUCCCGCUCGUCUGCGUCGUAUUCCUGCCACUAUGUUAUUCCUCAGAGUACUGCGAGUACCCUCUCCUAGAUGAAGCAUCACUAAGGGCAUCGUCCGAGCUACACACGAGAGAGGCAGACAAGGCCAAAUUGUACGGUGCAUUCUGAGCAGGCAUCAGAUGGUGGCUCCCCAAGUGUUGUGGUCAUCUUAUCCUACUGAUCUGAGUGUAGCAAAGAGAGAGGACUCCCCAUUUGUCUUUUGGCAAAAUAUUUUGGAUGUGUUGAU